GAUGAAGAACGUAGCGAAAUGCGAUAAGUAAUGUGAAUUGCAGAAUUCAGUGAAUCAUCGAAUCUUUGAAUGCACAUUGCGCCCUCUGGUAUUCCGGGGGGCAUGCCUGUUCGAGCGUCAUUACAACCCUCAAGCUCUGCUUGGUAUUGGGCUCUGCCGGUCCUGGCAGGCCUCAAAGUCAGUGGCGGUGCCAUCCGGCUCCAAGCGUAGUAAUUCUUCUCGCUUCGGAGGCCGCGGUGCGUGCUAGCCAGCAACCCCCAAUUUUUUUCAGGUUGACCUCGGAUCAGGUAGGGAUACCCGCUGAACUUAAGCAUAUCAAUAAGCGGAGA
rnacentral:misc_RNA from 1 species